rnacentral:rRNA from 1 species
CGGGAAAAGCUCAAAUUUAAAAUCUGGCAGUCUCUGGCUGUCCGAGUUGUAAUCUAGAGAAGUAAUAUCCGUGUUGGACCGUGUACAAGUCUCCUGGAAUGGAGCGUCAUAGAGGGUGAGAAUCCCGUCUUUGACACGGACUACCAGUGCUUUGUGAUAUGCUCUCAAA